GUGAUCAGCGGGUUAUCCGGCGUGGAGUUGUUGUCGUAACUGUCGAAGAUGAGCACGAGCCCGUUGGGGUUGUUGGGCAUGCCGAUGUUGCCGCCCCCUACAAACCCGGUAGGCGGAUUGGAAAUGUAAAAGAAGGUGAUGCCGUCGGCCGGGGGAGCGGAGCUGUUGGUGAUCUGGUACUCGAACGAUACGGUGAAUUCCCCGCAGGUGGCCAGGUUCACCGGCGUGUUGUAGUAAAUGUAGCCGGAUUGAUUGGUGGUGGGCUGGGUCAGCUGAAACGUGUUUCCGGAGACGCUGCUCACGGAGGCAAAGUUCCACCCGGUGGUAUUGAGGGGGUUGCC
rnacentral:misc_RNA from 1 species